AACUCUCAACAACGGAUAUUUUGGCUCCCGUAACGAUGAAGAACGCAGCGAAAUGCGAUACGUAGUGUGAAUUGCAGAAUUCCGUGAACCAUUGAAUCUUUGAACGCAAAUUGCGCUUGAGGCUUUGGCCAAGAGCAUGUUUGGCUCAGCGUU
rnacentral:rRNA from 1 species